rnacentral:rRNA from 1 species
ACGGCUCAGUAACACGUGGACAACCUGCCCUUAGGACGGGGAUAAACCCGGGAAACUGGGUAUAAUACCCGAUAGGUCUCGAUUGCUGGAAUGCAUCGAGAUUUAAAGCUCCGGCGCCUAAGGAUGGGUCUGCGGCCUAUCAGGUAGUAGUGGGUGUAGCGUACCUACUAGCCUACGACGGGUACGGGUUGUGAGAGCAAGAGCCCGGAGAUGGAUUCUGAGACACGAAUCCAGGCCCUACGGGGUGCAGCAGGCGCGAAAACUUUACAAUGCUGGCAACAGCGAUAAGGGAACCUCGAGUGCCAGGUUACAAAUCUGGCUGUCGAGAUGCCUAAAAAGCAUUUCAUAGCAAGGGCCGGGCAAGACCGGUGCCAGCCGCCGCGGUAACACCGGCGGCUCGAGUGGUAACCGUUAUUAUUGGGUCUAAAGGGUCUGUAGCCGGCCGGAUAAGUCUCUUGAGAAAUCUGGCAGCUUAACUGUCAGGCUUUCAGGAGAUACUGUCUGGCUCGAGGCCGGGAGAGGUGAGAGGUACUUCAGGGGUAGGGGUGAAAUCUUGUAAUCCUUGAAGGACCACCAGUGGCGAAGGCGUCUCACCAGAACGGACCUGACGGCAAGGGACGAAAGCUAGGGGCACGAACCGGAUUAGAUACCCGGGUAGUCCUAGCCGUAAACGAUACUCGCUAGGUGUCGGCCACGGUGCGACCGUUGUCGGUGCCGUAGGGAAGCCGUGAAGCGAGCCACCUGGGAAGUACGGCCGCAAGGCUGAAACUUAAAGGAAUUGGCGGGGGAGCACCACAACGGGUGGAGCUUGCGGUUUAAUUGGAUUCAACGCCGG